AAUCAGCGUCUGAAAAAACAUAAUAGUUACAACUUUCAACAACGGAACUACACCUCUUGGUUCUGGCAUCGAUGAAGAACGCAGCGAAAUGCGAUAAGUAGUGUGAAUUGCAGAAUUCAGUGAAUCAUCGAAUCUUUGAACGCACAUUGCGCCCCUUGGUAUUCCAUGGGGCAUGCCUGUUCGAGCGUCAUUUGUACCUUCAAGCUCUGCUUGGUGUUGGGUGUUUGUCUCGCCUCUGCGUGUAGACUCAACUUAAAACAAUUGGCAGCCGGCGUAUUGAUUUCGGAGCGCAGUACAUCUCGCGCUUUGCACUCAUAACGACGACGUCCAAAAGUACAUUUUUACACUCUUGACCUCGGAUCAGGUAGGGAUACCCCGCUGGAACUUAAGCAUAUCAAUAAGCGG
rnacentral:rRNA from 1 species